UCAUAUUUCAGAUCUGGAAAGAGUGGUAUGUGAGCAAGUGCUACCUUCUACUUCUCAAAGGACUGAACAAAAUUUAGGCAGGAAAAUAUCUGCUAGGACCUUUAAGCUCUCCAGGCCAGAAAUAAAUGUACGGAUGAAAAUAAUGGCUG